rnacentral:lncRNA from 1 species
CCCGAGUGCUGGGAUUUAAGGUGUGCGCCACCACGCCCAGCUGCAUCCAACAUGUAAUCCACCGGUCAUGCACAUACUUACGUCUGGCUUGAUUGAGGGUGUGAGUUUUUCAUAACCCAAGUGGCCAUACACGAUUAGUGGCUACUGUUUCGUGGGUCAAGUCAAGAGUCUGUCAGUGGGACUUUCCUAAUACCUGCUAAGAAGUCGAGGGUUGGGUACAGGAAGAGGGACGUUUUCAGUAGAUAGAACUGGAACUCUUUGAUGGUACUGGGUGACUGUGGCGCAGCCCACCCAGGGCAGGGCUGCUGGGGAGAUCUCGUGUUCCCUUCCAGCUUUCAGAGUUAAGGUCUGGACUUGGGGUCGCUCAGGAAGGUGCUUAUAGUGAUAAAAGUUUGAGGGUGGGACACCUCGAGGGCCAUCUGUGUGCUGAAGUCACCACUGAGUGUUACUGUAGGACAGUAUUUCUAGAGCCAGGGAGUUUAGAGGUAGGGCAGCCGAGGGGCUGGGCCGCUUCUGGCCACCUCCAGGUUGCACCAGGCCCUUCCUUUGUGGGAAGAUCACGCUGUUGCUCUCAAACUCUGCCUGUUCACAAAGGACUGGUCUCCUCCCUGAGCAGGCUUGCAUUAUAGGUGAUGAGUUUACACACACUGAGCCAGUGCCUGGCCUGUGGUUUAACCUCAUACUUGGCAUAUUGCCGGAGGGGCCGGAGCCGGCCCAGGUGGGCGACGAGCAGGCGAUAACAGGCCGUGAGGUGUCUGUGAGAAAGGCUCAGGCCAGGAACCAGAUCUCAGCACCGUGAGCCAAUCCUCAUUUGCUGCUUUACUAAGGAGGGAAGCAUUCCACACUCACUGCAUAGAUCCACCUCAAACAGCACACUGCGAGCUCCGAAGUAACGCUGGCCCUCAGUGGCUCGGCGCACACUGUGCUGGGUCUUGUCCACUUAAGACAAAACUGGAGUUAUCUGGGAAGAGGGGAUCUGUUUGAGGAAUUGCCUCCAUCAGAUGUGCCAGUGGAUACGCCUGAGAGACAUUGUCUUAAUUGCUCAUUAAUGUAGGAGAGCCCGCCCACUGUGGGCGGAGCCAUCCCUAGCCCAGAUGAGCCUGGGCUAUGUAAGAAAGUAGCUGAGCAAGCCAGAGGGUAGGCAGUGUUCCUCUGUGCUUCGGUUGCUGACUCCCAGUUCCUGCUUUAGGCUUUGACCAUGUUUUCUCUCAGUGACUGGUAGGACAGCAGCUCAGAGAAAACUACCACAGGUAUCGUCCUGUGGGUCUGCCUGGGUGUGUCAGCAUCAGUGCCCGGGAAGCCUAGCGAGGCUGAGGGAGUUUUGAAGUGCAGUUGAUCCCCAGUCAGCACAAGGUGGCCACAGUUGUUGGUGGUGGUUUUUGUUGGUUUUUUUAUUUUUCCAGCCAGGGUUUUUCAGUGUAGCCGUACUUGGUCUGUCAUGAGCCCCCUAUCGGAUGAGUAGACAUCUGUACUGUCUCCCCAGGAAACUCACUCUGUAGACCAGGCUGGCCUUGAACUCAGAGAUCCACCUGCCUCUGCCUCCCCAGUGCUAGGAUUAAAGGCGUGCGCCACCGCGAUCACCUGACUGCAAGCGACUGUUCUUUUCCUGUGUGCUCUUGAGAGCUUCUGGACCACAUUGCCCAUUAUGGGGCCUGAAGGCUGUGGAACAUCGUGCAGAGCAGAAAUUACUCAAAGACAGUUGUAUCACCAAGGCUCACGGCAGCAUGGGUGACAGCUCACAGAGCUGGGAGCCUCGAGAGCACUGCACAGCCUGCAGGCAGCACGACAGGUUGGAGGUGUCCUUUCCAGUCUGUGCUCUAACCCUCUGCCAGGCAGCUCUGCUGGUUUCUGCUUCUUCCGGGCAGCUGGUCUGCGUUAAGAGUCUUUGGAGCUUGGUUCUGCUCUUCUGCAGAGGGAAUCUCGGUUUCUAUUGCUUACUCUGGCAUGGAUGGGCCUGGUGAAUCUAGUCUGUUUUAGGGACUUCCUGAAGCUUCCUGAGUUAUUUAGGGUUCCUAUUGCUGUGAACAGACACUGUGACCACAGCAAUUCUUAUAAAGGAAAACACUAAAUUGGUGCUAGCUUACAGUUCAGAGUUAUCAUCAUGGCAGGAAGCAUGGCAGCACGCAGGUACAUGUGGUGCUGGAGAAGGAGCUGAGAGUUCUACAUUUUGAUCCAUGGCAGCAGAAGGAGACUCUGUGUCACAAUGGGCAUAACUUGAGCAUAUAUGAGGCCUUAAAGCCAGCCUCCAUGGUGAAACGCUUCCUCCAACAAGGCCACACCUCCUCUAACAAGGCCACACCUCCUAAUAGUGCUACUCCCUAGGGGUCACACGUUCAAACACAAGUCUAUGGGGUUCAAAUGACCACACUGAAUGUCCACCACGUCUCCUCCAUAAAUCUCUGGCCAAUACCGACAGUAAUCUCUAGUUUGGUCAUAGAGAAAGCAGCCACAGGGACAGGUGUCUUAGAAGUUGAUUUAGGCUUAGUGGUGAUGGCCUGCUGGUGAGCCUCAGAAACCCUGCCAAGCAGGUGAAGGGACAGCUGAGCCUACGUCCCUUACACCUCAAGUCUCCAUAGUGCGCUGCCGAUGAGAGGGAGUAAGAGCGGGUGGAAAAAGAAAAGGUAGGGGAUUAGGUAAUCUAGUUUACUGUCCCGGCUGCCAUCGGAGAACAGCAGCCAUGGUCCUGCGCUACCCCAUGGCCGUGGGCCUCAACAAGGGCCACGAGGUGACGAGGAAUGUCAGCAAGCCGAGACACAGCCGGUGCUGCAGGUGCCUCACCAAGCUCACCAAGUUCGUACGUGGGGGAACAAGAUCCCAGAGGUGUGCGGCUUCGCACCCUAUGUGCGGCGCGCCAUGGAGUUGUUCAAGGUGUCCCAGGACAAGCG